GACGAACGCUGGCGGCGUGCUUAACACAUGCAAGUCGAACGGAAAGGCCCUGCUUUUGUGGGGUGCUCGAGUGGCGAACGGGUGAGUAACACGUGCGUAACCUGCCCUUGACUUUGGGAUAACUUCAGGAAACUGGGGCUAAUACCGGAUAGGAGCUCCUGCUGCAUGGUGGGGGUUGGAUAGUUUCGGCGGUUGGGGCUGGACUCGCGGCUUAUCAGCUUGUUGGUGGGGUAGUGGCUUACCAAGGCUUUGACGGGUAGCCGGCCUGAGAGGGUGACCGGCCACAUUGGGACUGAGAUACGGCCCAGACUCCUACGGGAGGCAGCAGUGGGGAAUAUUGCACAAUGGGCGGAAGCCUGAUGCAGCAACGCCGCGUGCGGGAUGACGGCCUUCGGGUUGUAAACCGCUUUCGCCUGUGACGAAGCGUGAGUGACGGUAAUGGGUAAAGAAGCACCGGCUAACUACGUG
rnacentral:rRNA from 1 species